UGGGGAAUAUUGGACAAUGGGCGAAAGCCUGAUCCAGCCAUGCCGCGUGUGUGAAGAAGGUCUUCGGAUUGUAAAGCACUUUAAGUUGGGAGGAAGGGCAUUAACCUAAUACGUUAGUGUUUUGACGUUACCGACAGAAUAAGCACCGGCUAACUCUGUGCCAGCAGCCGCGGUAAUACAGAGGGUGCAAGCGUUAAUCGGAAUUACUGGGCGUAAAGCGCGCGUAGGUGGUUUGUUAAGUUGGAUGUGAAAUCCCCGGGCUCAACCUGGGAUCUGCAUUCAAAACUGACUGACUAGAGUAUGGUAGAGGGUGGUGGAAUUUCCUGUGUAGCGGUGAAAUGCGUAGAUAUAGGAAGGAACACCAGUGGCGAAGGCGACCACCUGGACUAAUACUGACACUGAGGUGCGAAAGCGUGGGGAGCAAACA
rnacentral:rRNA from 1 species